rnacentral:rRNA from 1 species
UACGUAGGGGGCAAGCGUUGUCCGGAAUCAUUGGGCGUAAAGAGCUCGUAGGCGGUCUGUUGCGUCUGCUGUGAAAACUCGGGGCUUAACCCCGAGCCUGCAGUGGAUACGGGCAGACUAGAGGUAGGUAGGGGAGAAUGGAAUUCCCGGUGUAGCGGUGAAAUGCGCAGAUAUCGGGAGGAACACCGGUGGCGAAGGCGGUUCUCUGGGCCUUACCUGACGCUGAGGAGCGAAAGCGUGGGGAGCGAACAGG